GUAGACGCUGGCGGCGUGCUUGACACAUGCAAGUCGAACGGACGCGAUUGGAAAGCUCGCUUUCUGAUCGAUGUUAGUGGCGAAAGGGUGAGUAAUGCGUAAGCAACCUGCCUUAUACAGGGGAAUAACAACGGGAAACCGUUGCUAAUACCGCAUAAUAUCGUGAUAUGGCAUCAUAUUGUGAUCAAAGGAGCAGUCCGGUAUAAGAUGGGCUUGCGUCCGAUUAGCUAGUUGGUGAGGUAAUGGCUCACCAAGGCUGCGAUCGGUAGCCGAACUGAGAGGUUGAUCGGCCACAUUGGGACUGAGACACGGCCCAGACUCCUACGGGGGGCAGCAGUGGGGAAUAUUGCACAAUGGACGGAAGUCUGAUGCAGCAACGCCGCGUGAAGGAAGAAGGUUUUCGGAUUGUAAACUUCUUUGAUCAGGGAAGAAUCAUGACAGUACCUGAGGAACAAGCCACGGCUAACUACGUGCCAGCAGCCGCGGUAAUACGUAGGUGGCAAGCGUUAUCCGGAAUUACUGGGUGUAAAGGGCGCGUAGGCGGGAUUACAAGUCAGUUGUGAAAUACCCAGGCUCAACUUGGGGGCUGCAACUGAAACUGUAAUUCUUGAGUGUCGGAGAGGAAAGUAGAAUUCCCCGUGUAGCGGUGAAAUGCGUAGAGAUGGGGAGGAAUACCGGUGGCGAAGGCGACUUUCUGGACGAUAACUGACGCUGAGGCGCGAAAGCGUGGGUAGCAAACAGGAUUAGAUACCCUGGUAGUCCACGCUGUAAACGAUGAAUACUAGGUGUGGGAGGUAUCGACCCCUUCCGUGCCGCAGCAAACGCAAUAAGUACUNCCACCUGAGGAGUACGNCCGCA
rnacentral:rRNA from 1 species